rnacentral:rRNA from 1 species
AUGAACGCUGGCGGCGUGCCUAACACAUGCAAGUCGAACGGAGUCCAGCCUUUAAGACCUUCGGGUCAAAGAGGGGAAGACUGAGUGGCGGACGGGUGAGUAACACGUGGGCAACCUGGCUCAUAGAGGGGGAUAACAGAGAGAAAUUUCUGCUAAUACCGCAUAAGCACACACUGCCGCAUGGCAGAGGGUGAAAAGAGAAUCGCUAUGAGAUGGACCCGCGUCUGAUUAGCCAGUUGGCAGGGUAAGAGCCUACCAAAGCGACGAUCAGUAGCCGAUCUGAGAGGAUGAACGGCCACAUUGGGACUGAGACACGGCCCAGACUCCUACGGGAGGCAGCAGUGGGGGAUAUUGCACAAUGGGGGGAACCCUGAUGCAGCGACGCUGCGUGAGUGAAGAAGUAUUUCGGUAUGUAAAGCUCUAUCAGCAGGGAAGAUAAUGACAGUACCUGAAUAAGAAGCCCCGGCUAACUACGUG